UCGAGAAUUUUUCUCAAUGGGGGCAACCCUGAAGGAGCGACGCCGCGUGGAGGAUGAAGGUCUUCGGAUUGUAAACUCCUGUCAUUCGAGAACAAGGUGCACGUGUUAACUGCGCGUGCAUUGAUAGUAUCGGAAGAGGAAGAGACGGCUAACUCUGUGCCAGCAGCCGCGGUAAUACAGAGGUCUCAAGCGUUGUUCGGAUUCAUUGGGCGUAAAGGGUGCGUAGGUGGUGCUGUAAGUCAGGUGUGAAAUCUCGGGGCUCAACCCCGAAACUGCACUUGAUACUGCAGUGCUCGAGGACUGGAGAGGAGAUCGGAAUUCAUGGUGUAGCAGUGAAAUGCGUAGAUAUCAUGAGGAAGACCAGUGGCGAAGGCGGAUCUCUGGACAGUUCCUGACACUGAGGCACGAAGGCCAGGGGAGCAAACGGGAUUAGAUACCCCCGUAGUCC
rnacentral:rRNA from 1 species